rnacentral:ribozyme from 1 species
AGAAUAAUGAAUCACUGACACGGAUACGGAUCCGAUGCCCUCACGAGCUACACAGGAAAGACGUACCUUACUCUUACACAAAACGUCCCCGACGUACAAAACGGUAACAUGUCUUUCCGCAUAUCUGAGCUCAACAUGGACCGGCUGAAGCUGCCCAAUGUGGCAGAGGACUUCGCGACAGCGCACUAUGGGGCGGG